rnacentral:rRNA from 1 species
CGCCUCCCUCCGCCGCCAUCAGACUCCGUACGGGAGGCGAGCAGGUGGGAAGUCUUGCGCAAUGGCGAAGCCUGACGCAGCGACGCCGCGUGUGUGAUGAGCUUCGGGUUGUAAAGCACUGUGGGGAGAGACGAAUAAGUGUUGGCUAACAUCCAACAUGAUGACGGUAUCUCCUUAGCAAGCACCGGCUAACUCUGUGCCAGCAGCCGCGGUAAUAC